GACCGGCGGGACCCCCGCGGGGGCUCCGGGCACACGGACACCGGCGGCGCUCCGGGACGGACCGGGGUGUCCGCUCCCUCAGCUCCGGCCUCCUCCGAGAUGCAGCGGGGCAAAGCAGCUCCUCACAGCUUUCGGAAGAAAAGCAGUUUGUAAAUUUUAAAAAAUGUUAAUAAAGGCAAGAAGCUGUAAAACCGAGUCUAGGUCACUGCAUCUGUCAGCAAACAUACCAGGUGUUGUUGCAGAGACAGACAAAUGUCUGGGAAUGGCACACCUCAUAGGGCUCAGUCACUCUCAGCCUGUCCCACUUCACCCUCUGUGGCUUCAUGGAUUUUGAAAAAGAUGGGUAGAGGAGAAGAAUCACACAGCCUUCAACACAUUUUGGAUGAACCACAUCCAGAUCUGAUGUCCCUGUCUCCUGCCCAUCAGCAACUCUGGUGAAACCCUCUACGGCUUGGGCAGCAAGCAAGUGUGAAGGGCAGGACAGAAGUGCUGCCAGCCUCAGGAUUCCUGAAUCAUGACUCAACAAUGAGGAGAUGCGGGAACCUAAAGGUUUGCUUGUGCCCCUAGAACAAGAUGGACAAUAGUGCUUGUUUGGCCAGCUCCUUGCCCACCCCCCUGCCUCAAGUCUCCUUGUUCUGUUAUCUGAAUGCUCUUCCUGCUCUUUGGUUCCUUAAUGAGCCUGGCACAGCUUGUUCUUUCCUAUCUCCACAUCCAGUGUUGUUACACCCCUCCUACCAUUUUUAGCUCCUCUUUUGCUCCUCGUUUCACUGGCUCCAAUACUGCUGCUCUCUCCCCAGCUCCCAAGACUAGCUGCUUGCUUUUUCAAAUAGUCUUCCCGCUCUCUAGGCCCUGCUUUCACUACAGCAAUCACUCUUGACUUUUAUAAUCCCAUGCACUCUGAUUUUCCAUCUAGUCACGUUAUUCAGCCAGUCAAGGUUCUUUUCUCCCAAAGGGUUCCAUCCCUUUGUUUUCCAGUAACUCCUUCUGUCUUUAUCCUCACAACAGACAGUAUCAUAAAGCUCCUGGCCCUGAUCUGUUCUCCAUGUUUCCCUUCCCCAAGGGACUUGCUGUUCUCCUUUCACUCAGCUGCUCCUCCUUCCCCUGCCUGGUCCAGAGCAGUCACCAGAGGUUGGGUCCUUACACAAGAUGUCUGGCACUCACAUAACCUUAUCCCACCUUUGUGACACAGUGUUGACAACAGAUCUUGGAAGAACUACACAGGGAAAAUCUCAAAUGUCCCUACAGAGCAUGCAUGAAAUGGAUUUUUUUUUUUAAAGGUUUAUCAUUGAUCAAAAUUUGGCAUGGAUUUUUAUGGGGAUAGUGAGUAGUGUAGCUCUGACGUAAGGACAGCUCUCCUUCAUAGGUUUCAGCUUCCUCCUCCAAAGCAGUUGGGCAAAAGACUGUUCUUCUUAGCAUACACUUUAACACUCAAAUCCAAAAUGUUUUGCUCUGCCUUUUUUUAUUUCUCCCUGAGUAGAUUUAAUGUACAGGCUGAAGCCAUAUUUAAAAAGAAAACAAAAAUUAUAAAAAAAUCAGAUGUAGGCAGACAGCCAGAAUGGAACAUUUCAGCUCCAAUCAUAAAAAUUACAAGCAACUGAAUGGUUUAGAGUAGGAAUGCCCAGUCUAUCUAAUUCCAUCUCUGCUGGUAAAUUUCUCCUUGCUAAAACCUGCACUUUGAACUUGCCACUCUGGGAUCAAUCACAUUGCUGUCCCCAGCAGCUUCAGAAUAAGAAAGGAAUACAGGACUUGCUUUGCCAUAGAUCAGGGCUUCUCAGAAGCUUUGUCUGAAUUGUGAGGCAGGUGGGGAAAUGAGGCCUGAUAACUGGAAACAAAUUCACACACAAAGCCUAAAAUAUUUCUGUGGAAAGAGAGAAGGUCAAACGCAAAAGCUGGAGCUUCUCAUAACGCGGUUGGUCUGUUAGCAAUGUCACCAGUGUAAAUCAAUCCAUUUAAAAACAGUCUUGUCACACCUCCAUAAAUGGCUAAUGUGGACAUGUUCAAAGCCUCACCUAAGACAGAACAUUUUGAAGUGGUAUAAUUAAAUCUGGUGUAUUCUUAAAGGAUGAGGCACCUGUUCUCUGAGUGCAAUCAAACUGAGAGCCUGCAGGCUGGCAUGGCUCGCUGCCCGGGACGCCGAUGCCGUUUCUGUGCCCGCUUGCAGCUCACAGACGCUGGGUGGCAACUCUCGCUCCUGCAGAAAUGCAGCUCCUGCUCCCGGGGCAGCAGCCGGGCUGCAGCACUCACCCUGUCUGCCUGUGAGAGGUGCAAGACGGGAAAGGCUGCACGGCACAGGACCUGACAUGGUGGCUGAGGAGAAGAGGAGGAGAGGAGGAAAUGGCUGCUGGCAGGGCAGGCAGGCCCUGACAAGUGGGAUGCUCCAGCAGGGUCUGUACACGGCCACUGCAGUCAGAACAGCCCUCCUCCUGCAGCUGUUGUGCCGUGAAAAGCUGGGCUUCCCACUGCAGCAGGCACUGAGCAGGCACAUCUGCUCUGUUGCCA